AGAUUGAACGCUGGCGGCAUGCCUUACACAUGCAAGUCGAACGGUAGAGUAGCAAUACUUGAGAGUGGCGAACGGGUGAGUAAUAUAUCGGAACGUGCCCAGUCGUGGGGGAUAACGUAGAGAAAUUUACGCUAAUACCGCAUACGAUCUAAGGAUGAAAGCGGGGGACCGUAAGGCCUCGCGCGAUUGGAGCGGCCGAUAUCAGAUUAGGUAGUUGGUGGGGUAAAGGCUCACCAAGCCAACGAUCUGUAGCUGGUCUGAGAGGACGACCAGCCACACUGGGACUGAGACACGGCCCAGACUCCUACGGGAGGCAGCAGUGGGGAAUUUGGACAAUGGGCGCAAGCCUGAUCCAGCAAUGCCGCGUGCAGGAAGAAGGCCUUCGGGUGUAAACUGCUUUGUACGGAACGAACGGUCUGGUUAAUACCGUGGGCUAAGUGACGGUACCGUAAGAAUAAGACGACCGACUAACUACGUGCCAGCAGCCGC
rnacentral:rRNA from 1 species